GAGGAUAUAAGGUUUACUUCUAAGGAGAUAAAAAGCAAUUGAUGCUUCCUCAAAAUAAAAAAGUUGACUCCAGCCAUGUUUUUAUUUGUUGAGAAAUAUUCUAUAUCUACACUAUGGGAUACAGACUAACAGUUAUUUACCUGUCUAUUGAGUACUUGUCACCUAGGAGUCAUCAGUAAGUUGCAUCCAUUAAACAAAGAAAAGUCAUUCAACCAGCCAUCUGGAGACAACAUGAGCAAAAAAGAAGAGCAGGAAGCGGGCAAGAAGGGAAACUGUCCUAGAAAGAGAGUAAAGAAGACCAAAGUGAUCAGACAACUAAAUUUGCUCAAAAGCAUGUGCCAGUCCUAGAAGAUAUAUACAGUGGUCUUUUGGAAGUGGG
rnacentral:lncRNA from 1 species